UUGUUUUUCCACCAAGCUUUGAAAUCACAACCAGCAGGUGGCGCCAGAGCGCCACAGCCCCAACGGUAGAGAGGCAGCAGCUGCCAGAAGCGAAGGGAGCUCUGGAGACUGAGGAGAGCUGGCUGCUGGGACCCCGACGCAGGGCUUGUCUACAUGGGGGAACUGACCGGCCUCCUGGUUUAACGCUCCUGACUUCUAGGCAUGGGUCUUACAAGUCAUCUGAAGCCUCUUCACAUGUUACCCCAUCCCCAGAUGGAGUCCAACCUCAUAUACAGAUGAACUCCUCCUGGGGUGAACACCUGUCUCAGGUGAGAUGCCUUGAUGUGGGAAGGGUUCCUGGAUUAAGAGUCUUGGCAAGCUCCUGAUCCAGCUGCCCAGGUUAAAGAUGCUGGAGUGGAUGACUCCACUGCACUGAGUCAUGGGUAGCCAGAGGCCUGGCAUCUGAAGCGCCUGGAAUGGAGCCUUGGAAUUCCUGCCAGGGAAUGGGCAGUCAGUCACUGGAGCUGCAGGGCUGCCUCGAAGCAUGGCUCAUCCAAGCACACAGGUUGGAGCAUGUGGGCCAGAUGCAGCUUUGCAUCACACCUGCUUCCGGGAAGAGCUCUUCCUGCUCAGCUGUGACAAACCCAGCAGCAGCUUAGUGUUGGUGGGGGCAGCCAGCUCCUUAAGUGUGUGGUUCUUUGUGUACUGACUGUUGAAAUAAAACAUCUCUGCACAGAA